rnacentral:rRNA from 1 species
UGGGGAAUAUUGGACAAUGGGCGCAAGCCUGAUCCAGCCAUGCCGCGUGAGUGAUGAAGGCCCUAGGGUUGUAAAGCUCUUUCACCGGUGAAGAUAAUGACGGUAACCGGAGAAGAAGCCCCGGCUAACUUCGUGCCAGCAGCCGCGGUAAUACGAAGGGGGCUAGCGUUGUUCGGAUUUACUGGGCGUAAAGCGCACGUAGGCGGACUUUUAAGUCAGGGGUGAAAUCCCGGGGCUCAACCCCGGAACUGCCUUUGAUACUGGAAGUCUUGAGUAUGGUAGAGGUGGGUGGAAUUCCGAGUGUAGAGGUGAAAUUCGUAGAUAUUCGGAGGAACACCAGUGGCGAAGGCGGCUCACUGGACCAUUACUGACGCUGAGGUGCGAAAGCGUAGGGAGCAAACAGG